UACAAUGAAGACAUAUUAUAUAAUCAUCUUUUUAUUUCAAGUUGUCAAGAUAAAUUUCUUAAUUAUAAUAUACCUCAUUGAUAUCCUGAUCGUAUCGUUAAACACUAGUUGGCGACUGUAACCACAUUAUACAGAAAUCUUUUAUAGCUAUGGUGUAAACGUGGGUGAUAGCCACUGGGCAUAUUUUCGACCUCGCCAGAACUCGUACAUAGUUUCGAACAACAUACAGUCGUUUCGUUUCCUCAUACCAUACAUACAAACCAUAACAUACCUAACAAACAACGUAGUAUAAUGUACAUAACACCAUUAAAAUAAACUUCGUACUUGUUUAUUCACGCGCGCGCGUUAACUAAGGAACGUGUAGUUUGUGCGCAGUUUUGUGCGCAGUUUUAUUUCGUGCGCAUGCUCAUGCGCACGCGCUUUUAAUGUAUUUUCUUUUACAAUACAUCGAAUCGGAAGAUGGACAGUAUUCUUUGCAAAAUUUAUGCUGAACCGUAUUUUUUGUCAACGAUGAGAUAAACACAUAUAUUUAUACAUAUAUGCAUUUUUCGCAUGUGCAUACACGUGACAAUUUGCUUAUUUGAAAUUUACUCCUGUACUUUGAAUGGUUGAAACCUAGUUUUUAUGGUUUACGAGCCUCAAUCUGUGUUUUUUAUGUGAUAUUAGCAUAACAAUGAAGUAAUAAAGUAAAUCAACCUGUGGUAAUUGCUAUAUAGAGCAAGUAAUAUUAUGGAAGAUUCAUAAAUAUGCACAACAGGGGUUCCCAUGAUUAUUCUUAAUAUACGAUGAUAAUGAUUAUAGCAAUGAAACACUAAAGUUCAUUGUACAAUGUUACAGAAAAAAAAAAAAAAAGAAUGAGCAAGAGCAAAAAAAAUUACUUCAGCUUGAGAAACUAUAAAUCGAAACUAUAUAAUUAAUAAUACCAUCGAUCAAGCGGUACGGAACGAUCACGCGAAAGUAAGAAAUAUCUUCCACCGUACAAUUUUCCCCAUCGACGAAUGAUGCAGGUUCGUUGAUCUGAAUUCGAAUGAAGACGUGAUUCAUGUAUUUCAAUCAUUCGAUGCAACAUUCUCUAUAUAGAUAAAACCUGUUCGUUUGAAAAUAUAUGCGUUUCUAGAGACUUUAAGGAAUGUAAGUCUCAUGUUAAAAACACGAAGGAAUCGAAUAUGUUCAAUGUAUUUUUAUUCAAACGAUAUUCUGUCAUUUGAUAAAGAUAGACAAGUAAGUAUCAUUAAAGCGUGAUUGAUGUGUCAUAGUAAUACCAUCUUGAAUUAUUAUUAGUACGAGGAAGCGGGUAUUUGAAAAAAAAAGUCUGAAGCAAUUGUUGUGGAUAGACUGAUAAGUAAAUACAGUUUAUUAUUGAAAGUUGAUGCCAAUCACUUUUUAUGUUUGAACUAUGUUAAAAAUAUUGAUUAAUUAUUUUAACCAAAUAAUUCACUUUAUUAUAUUUUUUAAUCAUAUAUCUUAUACAUUACCUUUGUUAUUCUUAUCUAAACAAUUGUCAUUUUAAGUUCAUAUCAAAAUUUCCGAUCAAAUCUUGUAAGUAUAUCUAAAUAUGUAUUUAUUAAUAUUUUAUUAUGCGAAAUUAUUCAGAUUUCCUUAAAGUAAAAUUUGAUUUGUUUUUUUCUUUUUUAACAUUAAAAUAAUCAAUCAAUUCUUCGAAUGUGACCGAGAACAUGAUUUACAUAGAUACAUUCAAAGCCACAUUCUUGCGCUUGAAAUUCCACAAAGCAAUCAUACCUAGAUUCUCCCGUUCUCCGAAUCCUCCGCCUCCGGCUUCACACAGGUGCACCUGCAACAACACAAAUAAGUCUUUAGAUUAUAGUAUUCUACCUGUGCGAGCAGUUUGAUUCCGCACCAAAUACCAGGAAUCGAACGUACACGAAUGCGUCUAUAUGUAUAGAUGCAAAAGAAUGAUUUAAAAAAAUUGAAAAGAAUAAGUACUCGCAUUCAAAUAAGAUGGAUGCGGUAAGAUUGUACAAAAGUACGUUGCUUUCCGCAACAUUGAAUUUUAUCGUAAUAUCCCCAACGAAGAAGAUGAUAAUUUUUCACGCGAAUCGUGCUACGAUCUUCCGUGAGUAUAAAAAAUUCUGCAAAAUAUCAUCAAGAAUUAUUAGAAAUAAUAGGAGAAACGGCAUACACAAAUUCCCUUGAUAGGUAUAUAAAGUUUCACCUAUAUGUAGAAAAAUAAAUUGGCGUGAUAUCGACAUCAUGAACGAAGAAGAACGCACUGCAUAUUUGCGUGUAUGUGCAUGUGCUCGCGCUUGUUCUCCCACUAUCCACAAUCUGAAAGGAGCGCGAACUCUCAAUAAAACCGCUCUACUUCGACAAAUCGCCUUAAUUUCAUCGUCAAUAAGCCCGAGAAACCCGCACCAAGUAUGCCGAUCGUCGUCUCUAUACACCGUGACUCUGUUACGCGACCGCUGUGCGUGCGCUUGUAUGCGCGUAUAUACAACUUACAUAGACGGAGGACACACACGCGCAGUAUGGCAUGCCGUUGGUGCAAGCCGCGUGAGCGAGUUUAACGAAUCUGAAGCAGAGAGAGAAGAGAGUGAGGCGGGCGUCUCGGUCGAGUAUUCCAGGUUAAUUUUACCGAGCCCUAAGGAGCGCAUGCGAAGGACCGGCGAAGGAUAACGCUAGCGGGGCUCAUCGGUUGGACGCUGCUCGAAGCGAACGAAGGACGCCCGCAUUCCACGCCGCAACCUGGUAUAAUACGAGGAAUUGGCCGAACAGAACAAGAGAGGGACAGAGAGGCUAAGAACGGGCUUUUUCUGCAUCAGAGAAAGAAGACGAACGGAUCACAAGCGAGACAAAGAGGAAGAGGAAGACGAAGAAAGACGAUGAAAGAGAGAGAGAGACGUACACAGAAAAAGAGAAGGAAUCACAGUGAAGCAACCAAGGAGAGGCAAGGAGUUGUGUCUGCAUCAUUCUUCUCUUUCUCCCUCUCUCUCUUUUCUCUUUCAUCUGCUUUCCCCUCGUAAUCAUACUCCACCAUUCCAUUCCUUUAUCUCCUUAUUCGUUUCAUUCUAGUUUCUCUAUACGAUACUUCUACAUACUCUUCUUCAUGUUCGUUAGUUUCUUCUUUAUCUCUUACUCUUUAUUACUCGUCUUUUUAUCCAUCUCUAUCUCUCCUUCUCGCUCGUUCUCCACUUUCAUCUUUUUCUUCGUCUCAUCCUCGUCUUCUUGUUUCUUUGUCCUCGUUCUUCUUUCUUUGCCCAUGUGUGUGUGUAUGCGUGUGUAUGGACUUGGUUGAACCGCGUGCCUCCAGCGGAAGUAAACCACCGUGCACACGCUGGUAUCUCCACAAGAGCAUUCUAUACAGUUUCAGGCGGCGUUCUUCCUUCGUAUGAGAGCGCGUAACUGGGAUUCCUCGUUUUGCGAGCAGGCAGCUGCAACUGGGUAGCCGCACUGGAGUAGGUUAUCGCCGUCGUGAGUCGUGGCUUUCACCACUUUGCCGGCCACGUCGCGUUCUCGCGCGCCGACAGUCACGAUGACAAGAGAAACGGAAGGUUACACGGGCCCUCCAUCGUUUCUUUCCCCCUGAUUGCCCGUGAUUUCGGAUUAGAUAAGCGGUGUGGAAUUUCGAUGCCUGCUGGGGCUUUAACACAACUCGCUUGCCUCGACCCGUGGAAUUGUUAUACCAAUAUUUUAAACUCUCGUAAAGCUUUCGUAAAAUUUACAUAAAAAUAUUUUACAAAAUAUUUGUUUUCCAUAUAUGAAUAAUUAUCUACUGGAUAAUUAUUUCGUGGAUCUAUCUGACACUUUAAAUCUGCGGAAAAAUAUAGAUUGUUGAAAAAAGAUGAUUGAGAAUGUGAAAGAAUUUAAUGAUGUAAAGAGCAAAAUAGAUAUUUCGUGAUUAAAAAUUUAUAAAUAAAUUGGCCUCGACUUUCUUUUUUACUUUUUAUACUUUUUAUCCUCUUGUAUC